AUGCACGCUGGCGGCGUGCCUCAUACAUGCAAGUCGCACGCUGGAGAUCUAGCUUGCUAGAUCGAAGGAGUGGCGAACGGGUGAGUAAUACAUAAGCAACCUACCCACGAAGACUGGGAUAAUCUCUGGAAACGGGGACUAAUACCGGAUAGGUAAUCGGAAGGCAUCUUCUGGUUAUUAAAGGUUAAAAACACUGGUGGAUGGGCUAUGGCGCAUUAGUUAGUUGGUGAGGUAACGGCCCACCAAGACGAUGAUGCGUAGCCGGCCUGAGAGGGUGAACGGCCACAUUGGGACUGAGACACGGCCCAGACUCCUACGGGAGGCAGCAGUAGGGAAUUUUCGGCAAUGGGGGCAACCCUGACCGAGCAACGCCGCGUGAGUGAAGACGGCCUUCGGGUUGUAAAGCUCUGUUGUAAGGGAAGAACGGUAGAUAGAGAAUAUCUAAGUGACGGUACCUUACCAGAAAGCCACGGCUAACUACGUG
rnacentral:rRNA from 1 species